rnacentral:rRNA from 1 species
AGCGAACGCUGGCGGCAGGCCUAACACAUGCAAGUCGAACGAAGCCUUCGGGCUUAGUGGCGGACGGGAGAGUAACACGUGGGAACGUACCUUUUGGUUCGGAACAACUCAGGGAAACUUGAGCUAAUACCGGAUGAGCCCUUAGGGGGAAAGAUUUAUCGCCGAAAGAGCGGCCCGCGUUAGAUUAGCUAGUUGGUGAGGUAAAGGCUCACCAAGGCUACGAUCUAUAGCUGGUCUGAGAGGAUGAUCAGCCACACUGGGACUGAGACACGGCCCAGACUCCUACGGGAGGCAGCAGCGGGGAAUCUUGCGCAAUGGGCGAAAGCCUGACGCAGCCAUGCCGCGUGAAUGAUGAAGGUCUUAGGAUUGUAAAAUUCUUUUACCAGGGACGAUAAUGACGGUACCUGGAGAAAAAGCCCCGGCUAACUUCGUGCCAGCCGCCGCAGUAAAAC